rnacentral:tRNA from 1 species
AAUGUAGUGCCUGAUUAAAGGGUUAUUUUGAUAGAAUAAAUCAAGUAUAUUUAUACCUACAUUA